CGAUUAGUCGGUGUUAAUAUACGACCCGACUAGCAGCUUCCGGGAAACCAAAGUUUUUCGUUUCCGGGGGAAGUAUGGCUGCAAAGCUGAAACUUAAAGGAAUUGACGGAAGGGCACCACCAGGAGUGGAGCCUGCGGCUUAAUUUGACUCAACACGGGAAGACUCACCCGGCCCGGACACCGUAAGGAUUGACAGAUUGAUAGCUCUUUCUUGAUUCGGUGGGUGGUGGUGCAUGGCCGUUCUUAGUUGGUGGAGCGAUUUGUCUGGUUAAUUCCGAUAACGAACGAGACUCUAGCCUGCUAAAUAGGCAGCUGAUCUAUUCGUCAGCUGUACCUCUUAGAGGGACAAGCAGCGUCUAGCUGCACGAGAUUGAGCAAUAACAGGUCUGUGAUGCCCUUAGAUGUUCGGGGCUGCACGCGCGCUACACUGAAGGAAUCAACAUGCUUCUCAACCUUGUCCGGAAGGACUAGGUAACCCGUUGAAACUCCUUCGUGAUUGGGAUAGGGAAUUGCAAUUAUUUCCCUUGAACGAGGAAUUCCCAGUAAGUGCGGGUCAUCAGCUCGCGCUGAUUACGUCCCUGCCCUUUGUACACACCGCCCGUCGCUACUACCGAUUGGAAGUAGACGAGAGAUCUCGGGACCGAUCCUUCGGCUGCCUUCCGGU
rnacentral:rRNA from 1 species